rnacentral:tRNA from 1 species
AAAGAAAUAUUUUUAUAAAAAAGCUUCUAACUUUUUUUAAAGCAUAAAUGUUUAU